rnacentral:tRNA from 1 species
ACGGAAGCGUGGAAGCGGCAUUCUGUCCAAGACGCUGCUCACUGGCUGAGAUCCCUAGAGAGCGAAGACCAGAAAGAAAACAGCUCCAGGCGACUUUCACCUCUUUCAGGCAAAAUCCUUUCACGGUGAGGCGAACACAAAGAAAGCAAGAGGAAGGAAUUCGCUCUUUUUAAGACCUCCCUGCGCCUGGACAGGUCCUCAGACCCUGUGUUCCUGGAGCACAAAAGGUGCGGAUCCAUAAGGAAGAUAUUAGGAAACAUCUAAUUGAAGCUUGAAGAACCAAAAUGAGGAAGGCAGAAUUAGGAAAGACCCUGUCCGGUGACGCCUCCCCUUCUGGUUUCCAUCUGUGCCCCCUCUCAGGAGCCGCGGGAACACAAGCCUCGAGCAGGCAAAGUCUCUUUGGAUUUGAAAUACAAAACCGUUAAGUGAGCUCCGACCAGGUCGCCUCCCAGCUGUCGCCUGCUUUCUCUAAAGCAGUGAUCUGGCAGCUGUUUGGAGAGUCUGAACGCGUUAACAGUUUUUGUUUUUCAGCGCAUCCGUGUGCUAUCUUCUAAUUGGCCAGAAAAGCCAUUAAUGUGAUGAAAAUUCUGAAUGAUCUGUUUUGCUAGAAAAGCUUUUCACUCCACUUUUAGAAUCCAACCACUUGAUGAUUCGAAAUCACCGCAAUGCCAUGGAAUGUAAAAACUGCUCUCGCCACGUCUAGAGACCGAUGCCUCUUCCUCCGCUGGGAACAUGGUUCAUCUCCACUCUCCGAUUUCACGGUUUUAUUUGCCCUCUGGGACGCGCUGACAUUGUUCUAAGCACAUUUUCUAAGUGAUUGUGUGAGUGUGGGUGUGUUUUGUUGGACUUGAAGGGAGUCUAAUUUCUAGAAGUUCCUUUCAGGAGUCUGCCUUUACUGCAAAGUUGAUGUAUUCGAAAACACAGUAACUCUUAAUGGCAACAGAAUUUGUCACCUAAUUAAGUGCAAUUCGGUCAUAAAAGAAGCCACAGAAUCAGCACGGCUGGCUCUGUGGCUUAGUUGGCUAAAGCGCCUGUCUCGUAAACAGGAGAUCCUGGGUUCGAAUCCCAGCGGGGCCUUAGGGUGUGCGUGUUUUUUUUUCUUUCCCCCUUUAAUAAGGGCCGUCUGUUUUUGUAAAUUUAUCACAAUUUUUAGUCUAUAAUCCUUAAUCACAAUAUCAAGUCCACUGCAUAGAGCUUUAAUCUCUCCAAUCUCUCUUCAUUACACCUGCAUCCUCAAAGACUAUUAGUUUCUGAUGAUCUCCCAGACAGUUAUAUUGGAAUUUCACCAAACUCAGGGGUUCAAGUUCAAUCACGGAUAAAAAAUCUCUAAAAUAAAAUUGUAAAACUUUUAAUUCAAAACAUUAAAAAUAUAUUCUUCUGGUUUCUCAAACUCCAUGUUAACCUUGCUUAAAGUCCACAUGGAUGAAAAAUGGUUGCAAUUUAUGGAACAUUUACUAAGUUGCACUUUGUGUAUUUUCUCACAUGCUUUUAAUUCCUAGAAUAUUCACUGAAGUAAACAUUAUUAUGCCAAUUUUACAGAUUAAAAAUGAAGUAUCAGAAGGAAAUAAACUUGCCCAAAUCUUACAGCUGAUAAUCAAGCUAAUAUUUAAAUCCAAUAUUUCUCAGUUACUUAAGUCAAAGUUAUUUAAGUCAAAGUCUUAAGUAACAAAUAAUAUUAUUUAUAAAAACAAACAGUAUCCAGUGUGAUUUAGAAUAAUGGUUCUUAAAAUUUUAUGGCACAUGAACUCAUUACAUUAUCUAAAAAAAAAUUUUGUCUAUAAACACACAGACACACACACACACAGACUUACGGACAAAUUUUGCAUAUUCUUUUGAGAUUUUCUCUGACCUCCUUAAGUUCUUGGGUGUCCAUGUGCCACUGAAAAAAAUCCAUGACUUUCAUAAAUCAAUAAACAGUAAAUCGCAAAUGAAUGUUCAGAAAAAAUAAGCUGUUUUAGGGACAGGGGUCAUAUUUUAUUUCUUGACAUUGAUUUUUAUAGUACUAUCACUCCCUUCCCUUGGUUGAUUUAAAGUGGGUUAUUAGAAGCAGAUUUCCCAACAGGAGUGUUAUGACUCUGAGCCAGCAUGCCAGUUUCAAAAAGUUAUAUUUCUGGAUGUGAGAUCACUGAAGUGAAUUCUGAAAAGAAUUCUAUGUGGUCCAUAAACACCUCUUAAAGCUAACUUCAAGCAGUGGAAGAUAUGCCUUCAUCUGUUUUAUGUGAUAAUUACGGAACUCUAGUCAUCCCCUCAUUCAUUCCCAAAAUUAUUAAUUCUAUGCCUACUCACACCAAGGUGUGGAAAGGUAAACUGAACAGGCCUGGUCUCUAUCCCAAAGGAGAUAAGAGCUUAGUUGGGGGUGGGUGAAUGGAUAGAAGUUAUUUAUAUAAUGACAAACAUAACAUUGUGGCUAUGAUAAGUGCUGCAAAAAAAGAAUGACUGUGAUUUAGAACACACCGAUGGGAUUUGGUUUCAUCAGGGAGAUAAGAAGAGAGUCUUCAGUUGCAAAGAAAGAGGACAGCAUAGGAAAGGGAGAC